rnacentral:lncRNA from 10 species
GAGCUUCAGUUUCUUCCUCUGUAAAAUGGGCAUGUGAAUAGUAUCUGCACGGAAUUUGCAAUAUAGUAGAGGAGACAGAGAAUCAACAGGUGAACAUACAAAUAUGUAACAUAGUGCCUGGUGGCGACAAAUUCUCUGGAGAAAAAUAAGGCCGAGUGGGAGUUAAAGAAGACUGGAGGAGGGAGGAGCUUUCUAAGGGGGUCAGGGACCCCCUAGGGGCUGUUGGGCGUUUCUCAAGGGUUAGUCUCCUCUGAUUUUCAUUUGACCUUUUUGGGAAAGGUGGGGAGCAGUGAGCUCCUGCCUGGGAGGGUGUAGCUAUGAAAUAAACGCUGGCUACUUUACAAAUAAAAGGGGAAAUGGUUGAGCUCUGAAAUAAUGAUUGUGGCUCUCUUUCCCAUCCUUCAACAUGUUUUGAAUAUAGAACAAUCAACAGUGAUCCCAAAGAAUUUGAAAUAUGAAAUGCAAAUGCCCUCUGGAAAUAGGAAAAUACAUUUUUGAAAGAGCCAACCUCUGACCCACUGUAAAGCGAAGCUUACAUUGUGUUCUAGCUCCUGCCCUCCUUCCAGGACAGAGCCCUGGGUCCCUUUCUGCAUUCUGCAUCUCUCUCUAUACUCCUCAACUUCCUGGGCACGAUUACUGCAUUUUGUGUAACGGUUACAAACACAGCUGUCAGAGGCACACUGGAGGCAUGUCCAUGUGGGUUCUUCAAAUCCCAGCUCUGGCACUUAUUGGCUGUGUGACCUUGGGCAAUUGCCUUUACCUGUCUGAGCAACCCUUUUAUAGUCAUCCCUAUUUAUAAGACAGAAAAUGAGAUAAUGUAAGUGAGGGCAACCACCUGGUGCAGGAGGUACUCUUAUUCUACUAUGCAGGGGAGGAAACGGGCAGAGAGAACCUGCCCAAAGUCACAGCUAGCGAGAGGCGGUCAGUCCAGCCUCUGUGCCUUUGCUCCCACGCUCUUCCACCCCUGGCCCCAGAGUCAAGUGCACACUCAGAACACCUUUCUUGACUUUUCAUCCUCUAAAAAUCCCAGCCAGCAUCAAUUCUAUCUCAUCCAUGAAGUCUCUGAUUGUAUUUUCAGUUGACUUUACUUGAUUUUGUAUAGCUAAUACAUUUAAAUAGUUCAACAUUCAAGAGUACAAAAGAUACUAUGCAGUUCCCCUCCCUGGAAGAAACCACUGGGGCUGUUUGCUAUGUGUGCCCUUCUUCACUUGGCCCAGCCAUAUGCUAGUGUGUUUGUUCUAUUAUUCUGCACAAAUAGUGAAAUACAAUAGAAGCUGUUGGACGCCUCAAUUUCUUCCCUAUUUA